AUGUAAUAAAACAUUGAUGGUUAACCACAGAAUGCAAACUUUCACAUACCAACAUACACAUGCAAAAUUUCACAUACCAUACUACUACCUUACCAACCUUCACGUAUUAACUUUAUCAUACCAACCUCCAUUUUCAACCUUCAUUAUACUAACAUUCACAAAAAAAAUAACAUACCAACCUCAGAAUGCAAAAUUUCACAUACCAACCUCAACAUACAAACUUUAAUAAAGCAAUCUAAACAUACAGAUUUUUCACAUACUAAUUUCAACAUACAAAUUUUUUACAUACCAAUCUCAACAUACAAAUUUUUCACAACCAACUACAACAUGCAUACUUAGACAGACCAGCUUUCACAUGCAAACUUUCAUAUACCAACAUACACAUACCAACAUUGACAUGCAAACUUCCACAUACUAACCUAAUAACAGACCAACAUUCACAUACCAAUAUUCACAUAAUUUAACCGUAGAGUGCAUCGGAUGUCAUAUUGCCUUGUUGAACAUUGUCAAUUUAGGAACAUAACUGUUUCCAUACCAUGCGAUAGGUUGAGGAUGAAGUGAUAUGUUAAUUUCAUCGCCUUUUCACCCUGGUAUGUAUGUUCAAGUCAAUGCACAUGUACAGACUUUGGAAUGUUAUGUUGAUUCUUUUUUUGGGGAAAAUAUCACAAAGUAUAGUUUAUAUUGUUUCGUGAGGUCAGUGUGUAAUUUUAUUUAUUAUAUACCUGUAAAUAUUUUUCUGCAUUUAAUACUUGUAGCACAUGCACAAAUAAGACACAACAAAAAUGAUUUUGUAAUGCUCAAUGAGAUGCUCGCGCUAUACCAAUAACUUUGCCAAUUAUGUUAUGGUUGAAUAUAUAGUUUUAAAUUGACAAGGUUUAUGAUAACAGAAUUAUUUUAGGAGUGUCUUGAUAUUUCGUAUUUGGGUUUUGUGGAUUUAUUAAGACUACUCCCACUUGGCGCUACUUGCCUGGCGCCACGCGAGAUUGUAUCCUAGAAAAAUCGACUAGAGUUAAUAGCAUGUAGAUGUUCCAGAUAAUGAUAGUCCUAUAACAAAUGUAUUGUUUUUAUUGUUUAUGAUAUCUUGGAUGAUACAUUAUGUAACAUAAGGUAUCGAAUAAAUUCUGUUAUGUGGUGUAAAGUGUUAUAAAUAGAAACCAAAGAUGAAUAUUGAGCCUAAUUUCAAAAAAGUUGCCAAAAGAUGAGGAUAAAUUAUUUAUGAAUAGCUUAUGUGUGAUAAGCAUAAUGUUGCAGUGCCAGAAAUUUGUUGUUUUUGUUUUGGGUUUGUUUUUUCAUCCAUGUCAGUGUUUGUAGGUGUGAUUUCUCUAUGACCCUUUUUUAUAUGUCAUAGAUUUUUUUGACUUUCAUUGAAAUUUGAUACAAUUCUUUUAAAAAGAAAUUAAGGACAACUCUUUUGUUACUAUAUUGUAUGUUGCAGAAAAUUGAAAUGUUGCAAAAGAUAUUUGAGCCGUGCCAUGACAAAACCAACAUAAUGGGUUUGCGACCAGCAUGGAUCCAGACCAGCCUGGGAUUCCACACAGUCUGAUCAGGAUCCAUGCUGUUAGGUAUCAGUUUCUCUUCUUGUUAUAGGGUCUGUAAGCGGCUCAAAUGUAUUUAUUUGAUGAAUAUGCAAACAAGGCCUAGAAAGUGGUGUGCUUUUUUUUCUCAUUCGAAAUACCUGAAUUAACUUUCUCUGUGAUGCUAUUAAUAAUUUAGUUGACUUAAAUUUGUUUGUUUACAAUGAAUGCAAUCUAUAUGAAAUAUGUAUUUUGAAAACAAAUUGUAAAUAUAGUUUGUUAUAUUUAUAUCAAAUGCUAAGAUUUAAGGUUGGAAAGAAAUAUAUAUUGUUACCUUCUUGAAUUUAUACAUGCAAGAAAUCCAUAAAAUCCAGGAUUUAAGUGACCUAGAUACAACUGUAUAACAUACAUGGUUUGACUAGUCAGUAAGUUGUGUUUAUCAAAAUGGGAAUGUUAUUAUACUGUUUAUUAUUUUCAUUCUUUUUGUUGAAAAAUUACUUGCUAUUUGCACAAGAAAAGUUUUUUUCAAGUAAAGUGCAAUAUUAAUGGUAUAUUGAUUGAGAUCUUUUUUAUAUAAUACAAAUACAGUAUACCAUGUUUUUAUAGGCCAUCCAUGGAGUCACAUAAAAUCCUGAAAAAUUCAUAAUCAUUUUGUCUGAAGAAGCACAUGAAUUUUGUCUUGAAAUUUUUCAGUUGAGAUUCACAAUUAUAAAAAAGAAUCGUAUUUUAUGACAGGUUUGUCUGUAAAGUAUUAACAUUAAUGAUGAAUUUUAAUACAGGUUUCAUAUUGCUAAACAUGAAAAUGAAAUCUCAUUGAUAUUUGCUUACAGUAAGGAUUUGAAAAAAAAAUUGGAAAAAAUUAUAAAAAUUAAAACAUUUACCUCUGCAUGUUUGACUGUUUAAUGUCUCAAUGUUUUCACUAAAUGGUUGUUCAUAUUUUUCCAGCAGUGUUAUUUAUUAAUAUUUCCUCAUAUCCAUAUCAUUUUACCCCCUCCCCCAUUUUACACCUAUUCAUCAUCUCAGUUUUUUUUUCAUUUUUACAUGUAGGUCUACAAAUUUUUUCAUUAUAUCAUAAUUAUCAUUUCCCCCUUUUUCAUUAUAAUCACUUUUCCCGUUUUUUUAUCAUUUCCCCCUGCCUUUUCAUUAUUGUCAUUUUUCACAUUUUUUAUCACUUUCCCCAGUUUUUCCUAAAUUAUCAUUUUCACAUUUUCAUUAUCUUCACCCAUCCCAUUUUUCUUAUUAUCAAUUUUCCCGUUUUCAAAGUUCUCAUUAUACAAUAUCAUUUCAUUAUUGAUUUUUAUGUUUUAGAAAUUAAAUAUAUGUAUUUAUAUAUAAAUGUAGAUUAUUUCAUCAUGUUUUUUUUUUGCAGUGCAAUAGUAGUUUGUUGUUACUUCCCUAGAAUAUCAUUUAAAUCGUUAUAUAUACAUGUAUAGUGUUAAUAUUAUACAUGCAUGUUUAAGUGAAUUUUCUUGAAGAAUAUUUCUGCAUUUUUUUCACAUGCAGGAGAUGUUACAAUAAAUGGAUUUUUUUGUGUUUGUAUCAAAUGCAAACAAGAUGAUCAUAUGUUGUAUAAAAUUUAGAUAAUCCGGACCCAUUGCUUUGUUUAGUAAUCCGAAACACGAUUUUUUUAUUUACGAAAUGUUUAAAAGUUGUAGAAUUUGAUAUACAGUAGAUUUUAUGAAUUAAAGAGUUGAUUUCAAGUAUAUAAGCAAGGUUUUUUUU